GUGAAGGAGUUGAUUAUUGUGAAGUUGUGCAUAAAUUCAAAGGGAAAGUAGAAUCAUGUAGUAAAACUAACAAGAGGACACCAACAGGAUCAUCCUGCUCCAUUCAAAUUGUUUAUGCAGACAACAGUGGAGAGUACUGGUAUGAGACUGAAGGAGGGAGAAGAAGCAACAUUAUCAACCUCUCUGUCACUGCUGGUCCUGUGAUCCUGGAGAGUCCUGCUGUUCCUGUGUUAAUGGAAGAAACUGUGACUCUGAGCUGCAGGAACAAAAUUCCUUCCUCCAACUUCAAAGCUGAUUUCUACAGAUAUGGAAGUCAGAUCCAUAGAAGCUCCACAGGAAACAUGACCAUCCAGAGAGUUUCCAAGUCAGAUGAAGGACUUUACAAGUGUAGCAUCUCAGGAGCUGGAGAAUCACCAGAGAGCUGGCUGAAAGUCACAGACUCUCAAAAUUUAAAUUACACGAUUAAUCCAGACAAAGAAGGCAGCCAUUCCUCCUCUGCUGCCACACCUUGGAUCAUUGCCACCAUUUUAGUCAGUGCUCUGUUGGUGGCAGUGGGACUGUAUCACUUUGGCAAAGGUUACUGGA